rnacentral:rRNA from 1 species
AUGCAAUCUUAUGAUUCAUGCUCACCUAUGGUUGGUUGCUGGUUGUUUUGCUGUCCCAAAGGCACACGGGAGUCUGCGGGAAAAAAACUGGCGACGUUUUCUCUUGGAUAUUCAGAAAAUGGAGACACUCGGCGAUCUGGCUCUGCUGCAGGGAUGGCAAGGCAGCUUGAAGGUGGUCACGACCAUCUCGCAGAGAUGGUGCAAGCUGCCAAGAAUCACGGUGCCAGGGCACUGCACUUCACCGCCGGGUGCAAGAUGGUGGAAGUGUGUGAGUACCUGUUGAGGAUUUCCAGGUGGACGUGGAUGUCGUUGACCAAGCAGAUUUUGCCUAUUCUCUAA